GAUGAAGAACGUAGCGAAAUGCGAUAAGUAAUGUGAAUUGCAGAAUUCAGUGAAUCAUCGAAUCUUUGAACGCACCUUGCGCUCCUUGGUAUUCUGAGGAGCAUGCCUGUUUGAGUGUCAUUAAAUUCUCAACCUUUUAUCGACUGAUGAAAGACUUUGGAAUUGGAAGGUUGCAGGUCUUUUGGAGAUCAGCUCUUCUUAAAUGAAUUAGCAGACACAUUGUAUAGAUUGUCUUUAUUGGUGUGAUUAACCAACUUAUCUACACCACGUUAAUAAGCAGUUUAUGACAAGUCAGCUUCUAAUUAUUGUCCUUAUUAAAAGGACACUUAUGAAAAUUGUGGCCUCAAAGCAGGUAGGACUACCCGCUGAACUUAAGCAUAUCAAUAAGCGGAGGA
rnacentral:misc_RNA from 1 species